rnacentral:rRNA from 1 species
GACGAACGCUGGCGGCGUGCUUAACACAUGCAAGUCGAACGGUGAAGGUGGAGCUUGCUCCGCCGGAUCAGUGGCGAACGGGUGAGUAACACGUGGGCAACCUGCCCCUAACUUUGGGAUAACUACUCGAAAGAGUAGCUAAUACCGGAUAUGAAGUCUGUAGGCAUCUACGGAUUUGGAAAGUUUUUCGGUUAGGGAUGGGCCCGCGGCCUAUCAGCUUGUUGGUGAGGUAGUGGCUCACCAAGGCGACGACGGGUAGCCGGCCUGAGAGGGCGACCGGCCACAUUGGGACUGGGACACGGCCCAGACUCCUACGGGAGGCAGCAGUGGGGAAUAUUGCGCAAUGGGCGAAAGCCGGACGCAGCAACGCCGCGUGCGGGAUGAAGGCCUUCGGGUUGUAAACCGCUUUCAGCAGGGAAGAAGCGAAAGUGACGGUACCUGCAGAAGAAGCACCGGCUAACUACGUGCCAGCCGCCGCCGUAA